rnacentral:rRNA from 1 species
CCUACGGGAGGCAGCAGUGGGGAAUAUUGGACAAUGGGGGGAACCCUGAUCCAGCCAUGCCGCGUGUGUGAAGAAGGCCCUCGGGUUGUAAAGCACUUUCAGUGAGGAAGAACGCCUGGUGGUUAAUACCCAUCAGGAAAGACAUCACUCACAGAAGAAGCACCGGCUAACUCCGUGCCAGCAGCCGCGGUAAUACGGAGGGUGCGAGCGUUAAUCGGAAUUACUGGGCGUAAAGCGCGCGUAGGUGGCUUGAUAAGCCGGUUGUGAAAGCCCCGGGCUCAACCUGGGAACGGCAUCCGGAACUGUCAAGCUAGGGUGCAGGAGAGGAAGGUAGAAUUCCCGGUGUAGCGGUGAAAUGCGUAGCGAUCGGGAGGAAUACCAGUGGCGAAGGCGGCCUUCUGGACUGACACUGACACUGAGGUGCGAAAGCGUGGGUAGCAAACAGGAUUAGAUACCCUAGUAGUC